rnacentral:rRNA from 1 species
UAGUUAGUGGGGUAACGGCCUACCAAGGCGACGAUCAGUAGCUGGUCUGAGAGGAUGAUCAGCCACACUGGGACUGAGACACGGCCCAGACUCCUACGGGAGGCAGCAGUGGGGAAUAUUGGACAAUGGGCGCAAGCCUGAUCCAGCCAUGCCGCGUGAGUGAUGAAGGCCUUAGGGUUGUAAAGCUCUUUUGUCCGGGACGAUAAUGACGGUACCGGAAGAAUAAGCCCCGGCUAACUUCGUGCCAGCAGCCGCGGUAAUACGAAGGGGGCUAGCGUUGCUCGGAAUCACUGGGCGUAAAGGGCGCGUAGGCGGCCUUGUAAGUUGGGGGUGAAAGCCCGUGGCUCAACCACGGAAUUGCCUUCGAUACUGCUUGGCUUGAGUGUGGUAGAGGUUGGUGGAACUGCGAGUG